rnacentral:rRNA from 1 species
AGAGCGAACGCUGGCGGCAUGCUUAACACAUGCAAGUCGCACGGGCGGGGGCAACUCCGUCAGUGGCGGACGGGUGAGUAACGCGUAGGUAUCUAUCCUUGGGUGGGGGACAACGGUUGGAAACGACUGCUAAUACCGCAUGAUAACUGAGGUUUAAAGGCGUCCGGGGGAACUUGGAAGCUGCCUGAGGAGGAGCCUGCGUACGAUUAGCUAGUUGGUGGGGUAAAGGCCUACCAAGGCGACGAUCGUUAGCUGGUCUGAGAGGAUGAUCAGCCACAUUGGGACUGAGACACGGCCCAAACUCCUACGGGAGGCAGCAGUGGGGAAUAUUGGACAAUGGGCGCAAGCCUGAUCCAGCAAUGCCGCGUGUGUGAAGAAGGUCUUCGGAUUGUAAAGCACGUUUCGGACGGGGACGAUGAUGACGGUACCCGUAGAAGAACGCCCGGCUAACUUCGUGCCAGCAGCCGC